GGCAGAUGGAUCAUCCUUUGUUCAGGUUGACUCAUGAUCACAAGAUGGCUGCUGGUGCUUCAACCAUUGCAUUCAAAUUCUGAACAGAAAGACAAAAGAAAGGGGAAAGGGGAGAAGGGUGCUUGCCUCCCAGAAAGAUGUACUGGAGGGCUUUGAGGACACAGUAGAACUUGGCCUAGUGG